GUCCCUGUAGCGCAAUAGACAGCGCCUUGGAUUUCUAUUCCAAAGGUCAUAGAUUCGAUCCCACCUGGGAUG